GAUGAACGCUGGCGGCGUGCCUAAUACAUGCAAGUCGAGCGAACGGACGAGAAGCUUGCUUCUCUGAUGUUAGCGGCGGACGGGUGAGUAACACGUGGAUAACCUACCUAUAAGACUGGGAUAACUUCGGGAAACCGUAGCUAAUACCGGAUAAUAUUUUGAACCGCAUGGUUCAAAAGUGAAAGACGGUCUUGCUGUCACUUAUAGAUGGAUCCGCGCUGCAUUAGCUAGUUGGUAAGGUAACGGCUUACCAAGGCAACGAUGCAUAGCCGGCCUGAGAGGGUGAUCGGCCACACUGGAACUGAGACACGGUCCAGACUCCUACGGGAGGCAGCAGUAGGGAAUCUUCCGCAAUGGGCGAAAGCCUGACGGAGCAACGCCGCGUGAGUGAUGAAGGUCUUCGGAUCGUAAAACUCUGUUAUUAGGGAAGAACAUAUGUGUAAGUAACUGUGCACAUCUUGACGGUACCUAAUCAGAAAGCCACGGCUAACUACGUG
rnacentral:rRNA from 1 species